rnacentral:rRNA from 1 species
AGUGAACGCUGGCGGUAGGCCUAACACAUGCAAGUCGAACGGCAGCACAGGAGAGCUUGCUCUCUGGGUGGCGAGUGGCGGACGGGUGGGGAAUACAUCGGAAUCUACUUUUUCGUGGGGGAUAACGUAGGGAAACUUACGCUAAUACCGCAUACGACCUACGGGUGAAAGCAGGGGACCUUCGGGCCUUGCGCGAUUGACUGAGCCGAUGUCGGAUUAGCUAGUUGGCGGGGUAAAGGCCCACCAAGGCGACGAUCCGUAGCUGGUCUGAGAGGAUGAUCAGCCACACUGGAACUGAGACACGGUCCAGACUCCUACGGGAGGCAGCAGUGGGGAAUAUUGGACAAUGGGCGCAAGCCUGAUCCAGCCAUACCGCGUGGGUGAAGAAGGCCUUCGGGUUGUAAAGCCCUUUUGUUGGGAAAGAAAUCCAGCUGGCUAAUACCCGGUUGGGAUGACGGUACCCAAAGAAUAAGCACCGGCUAACUUCGUGCCAGCCGCCGCCGUAA